rnacentral:miRNA from 1 species
UCAAUGAGCUGACUGAAAAAAAAAAAUCACUAUUUUGAACUGUUACUGUUCUUUAUUAUUCUAUACAAUAAGAAACCAUUUAUUGAUUAGAGUUUGACAUGAAAUGAAAGUAGAUAGUAAGUAACUUGCCAUGGCCAGCUCAGUGGUUGGACAGAAAGGAAGCUCC